UUGGGUGGUAAGAUGGCGGCUGUGAGUCUGCGGCUCGGCGACUUGGUGUGGGGGAAACUCGGCAGGUAUCCUCCUUGGCCAGGAAAGAUUGUGAAUCCACCCAAGGACUUGAAGAAACCACGAGGAAAGAAAUGCUUCUUUGUGAAAUUUUUUGGAACAGAAGAUCAUGCCUGGAUCAAAGUAGAGCAGCUAAAGCCAUAUCAUGCUCAUAAAGAGGAAAUGAUAAAAAUCAAUAAGGGAAAACGAUUCCAGCAAGCUGUGGAUGCUGUGGAAGAGUUCCUCAGGAGAGCCAAAGGAAAAGACCAGACAUCAUCCCACACUUCUGCUGAUGACAAGAGUCGGCGUAAUUCCAGUGAGGAGAGAAGUAGGCCAAACUCAGGUGAUGAGAAGCGCAAACUUAGCCUGUCUGAAGGGAAGGUGAAGAAGAACAUGGGAGAAGGAAAGAAGAGGGUGUCUUCAGGCUCUGCAGAGAGGCUCCAAAUCCCCUCUGAAAAGAGCCCAAGAGCAAAGUCCCCGGAAGCAGGGUCGGCCCCCAAAGGAUGAGAAGGACCUCACUAUCCCCGAGUCUAGUACCGUGAAGGGGAUGAUGGCCGGACCUAUGGCCACGUUUAAAUGGCAGCCAACUGUGAGUGAGCCUGUCAAAGAUGCAGAUCCUCACUUCCAUCAUUUCUUGCUGAGCCAAACAGAGAAGCCAGCUGUUUGUUACCAGGCAAUCACAAAGAAAUUGAAAAUAUGUAAAGAGGAAACUGGUUCCACCUCCAUCCAGGCAGCAGACAGCACAGCCGUGAAUGGCAGCAUCACACCCACAGACAAAAAGAUAGGAUUUGUGGGCCUCGGACUCAUGGGAAGUGGCAUCGUCUCCAACUUGCUAAAAAUGGGUCACACGGUGACUGUUUGGAACCGGACUGCAGAGAAAGAGGGGGCCGGCCUAGGAAGAACCCCCGCUGAAGUUGUUUCAACUUGUGACAUCACUUUUGCCUGUGUGUCAGAUCCAAAAGCAGCCAAGGACCUGGUGCUUGGCCCCAGUGGUGUGCUGCAGGGGAUCCGUCCUGGAAAGUGCUAUGUGGAUAUGUCAACGGUGGAUGCGGACACAGUCACUGAGCUGGCCCAGGUGAUUGUGUCGGGGGGGGGCACUUUCUGGAGGCCCGUCUCAGGGAAUCAGCAGCUGUCUAAUGAUGGGAUGUUGGUGACUUAGCAGCCGGAGACAGGGGCCUAUAUGAGGACUGUAGCAGCUGCUUCCAGGCUGUGGGGAAGACCUCCUUCUUUCUAGGUGAAGUUGGAAAUGCAGCCAAGAUGAUGCUGAUUGUAAACAUGGUCCAAGGGAGCUUCAUGGCCACCAUUGCAGAGGGGCUGACCCUGGCCCAGGUUACAGGCCAGUCACAGCAGACACUCUUAGACAUACUCAAUCAGGGACAGUUGGCCAGCAUCUUCCUGGACCAGAAGUGCCAAAAUACUCUACAGGGGAACUUUAAGCCUGAUUUCUACCUGAAGUACAUUCAGAAGGACCUUCGCCUGGCCAUUGCCCUGGGCGAUGCUGUCAACCACCCAACACCUAUGGCAGCUGCAGCCAAUGAGGUAUACAAAAGAGCCAAGGCACUGGACCAGUCCGACAAUGAUAUGUCUGCCGUGUACCGAGCCUACAUACACUAAGCUGUAGAUGCGCUGCCCCACCCCUCUGAUCUUCCCUUAGGCCCCUCUUCCCAAAAUGGGGUUGGGGUCCUGGGAUUUAACUCUGGACCAGUCCACCUGUCUCCAUUUCCUUUUAUACAGACUUGAGACUUGCCAUCAGCACAGCACACAGCAGUACCUUUCUCUCUGAUGCCCUGGGAGGGAGGGAUGUCACUAGGGUUGGCUUGUGAGGAAGGAAACUCUUGAGCCUGGGCACUGGCCCCAACUAGGUGGCCAUACUUACGUGUACACACACACACACACACACACACACACACACACGUACACGUACAUGUGCGCGCUCUCACCCCAGGAUAGGAGCUGCCCAGAAAACUGCUGCUGCCUGGCUUUUUUUCUUCCAAGCUUGUCUUAUCAAAACCCUUCCAGUUGAGGAACUAAAAUCAAUAGAGGUUGACAUUGUGUCCUAGUCCCUACCUGGACCCCUGCAGGGAGAGGGUCAGGGCCAGAAUGAACCAGCAUUGACUCCCAGCAGCGGUUCCUAUGGGCCCUCCAGCCUCAGCUGAGGAGGAUUUUCAAGUCUAAGCCACCGAUGUGCACCCACCUCUUGUAGAAGCUUUUGUAAACUGAGAAGAGACUGCCACCAUCUCACACAGGCAAUCUUGGCUCUGCAGCAAGCAGCCGGGCUGCAGAGGAGCACAGCUGCCUAGCUUCCCAGCUGCUGCUCAACCCCCAUGGGCACUGCAAGCCUCAGCUGGGUCGAAGGUCCUGGCUUCCCUGCAGUGGGAGCUUGCUCCUCACGAGGCUGUUUUAGUGCUUGGAUUUGCAUUCCAGCCCUUGGGAAGAGUGCCCUCAGGACCCUGAGCAGUGGAGAAUGAGAGCCACUCGUUCCUGUUUCCGUUAUGCCACCAUCUUCACCUGGCUCUGGAGACCCACUGAGCUGGCCAACCUGGCCCAGCCUGCCCUGUGCAGGUCUUCUGCAUACCCCAUCUCUCUUCACUCUUCUACUUUUCCUCCCAUCGAGACAGUAUUUCUGUCCUACCUUUGGCUCAAUCCCAGCCUGACCAAUGAUGAGCAUUUCUUAGACUCACUUCUUGAUAAGAGAAUGAGUGUCUGUCCCAGCCAGCAUCACACUGUUUAGUGCUGCCCAGGCCAAGGUUUGCCAGCUGGGGGAGAACUGGGCCUGACCUCAUGAACUGACCCUCAGCUGUGGAACUGGGACAUCCUUGAGGCCCUUACAUUUCUCCUUGGAUAGGGGACCAGUGGCUUAGAAUGUUGCCUGAGAACAAGGAGGAGUUACCCCAGGAGAUGUCAGCAUUUUCUCCCUCUCAUGGGGUGGGUUUUCCAAAGUCACAAUUUACAGUUUAACAGUGUAGGGUGGCCACACUGUUGGGGGCAGGGAAGAUGUCCACGGGGGUGCGGAACACUUGUUGAUUUCACUGGGAUUUUGAACUCAUUUGUCUGAACACAGCCUGUCUUAGUCUUGGUGGACACACUGAGGGUGGGGGUGGGGGAAGGCACUGUAAUGAAACUGGUUAGUCAAUGUUGUCUUAAUAUUGUUGAGAAUUCUGUAAAGUUUCUUUUUAUGAGUAUUUCUGUUUAAGCUAUUUCACCUUUGUUUUGAAAUCUUUCCCUUUAAGGAGAAAAUGUGACACUUGUGAAAAAGCUUGUAAGAAAGCCCCUUUUUCCUUUAAACCUUUAAAUGACAAAUCUAGGUGAUUAAGGUUGUGAGUUUUCAUUUUUGCUUUGUUUUUAAUGAACAUUUGUCUUUCAGAAUAGGAUUGUGUGAUGUUUAAAUGGCAAAAACAUGAUUUUGUGCAAUUAAAAAAGCUACUGCAAGAAAAAUAAAACAUUUCUUGG